rnacentral:rRNA from 1 species
GACGGGGGGGGGCAAGUGUUCUUCGGAAUGACUGGGCGUAAAAGGGCACGUAGGCGGUGAAUCGGGUUGAAAGUGAAAAGUCGCCCAAAAAAGUGGCGGAAUGCUCUCGAAACCAAUUCACUUGAGUGAGACAGAGGAGAGUGGAAUUUCGUGUGUAGGGGUGAAAUCCGUAAAUAUACGAAGGAACGCCAAAAGCGAAGGCAGCUCUCUGGGUCCC